rnacentral:rRNA from 1 species
UAAGCAUAUCAAUAAGGGGGGGGAAAAAAAAACCCCACGGGAUUGCCCCCUAGUAACGGCGAGUGAAGCGGCAACAGCUCAAAUUUGAAAUCUGGCCUCUUUGGGGGUCCGAGUUGUAAUUUGCAGAGGAUGCUUUGGCAUUGGCGGUGGUCUAAGUUCCUUGGAACAGGACAUCACAGAGGGUGAGAAUCCCGUACGUGGUCACCUGCCUUUGCCGUGUAAAGCUCCUUCGACGAGUCGAGUUGUUUGGGAAUGCAGCUCUAAAUGGGAGGUAAAUUUCUUCUAAAGCUAAAUACUGGCCAGAGACCGAUAGCGCACAAGUAGAGUGAUCGAAAGAUGAAAAGUACUUUGGAAAGAGAGUCAAAAAGCACGUGAAAUUGUUGAAAGGGAAGCGCUUGCAGCCAGACUUGCCCGCAGUUGCUCACCUAGGCUUUUGCCUGGGGCACUCUUCUGCGGGCAGGCCAGCAUCAGUUUGGGCGGUUGGAUAAAGGCCUCUGUCACGUAUCUUCCUUCGGGAAGACCUUAUAGGGGAGGCGUAAUGCAACCAGCCCGGACUGAGGUCCGCGCAUCUGCUAGGAUGCUGGCGUAAUGGCUGUAAGCGGCCCGUCUUGAAACACGGACCAAGGAGUCUAACAUCUAUGCGAGUGUUUGGGUGUCAAGCCCGGGCGCGCAAUGAAAGUGAACGGAGGUGGGAACCUUUUGGGUGCACCAUCGACCGAUCCUGAUGUCUUCGGAUGGAUUUGAGUAAGAGCAUAGCUGUUGGGACCCGAAAGAUGGUGAACUAUGCUUGAAUAGGGUGAAGCCAGAGGAAACUCUGGUGGAGGCUCGCAGCGGUUCUGACGUGCAAAUCGAUCGUCAAAUUUGGGCAUAGGGGCGAAAAACUAAUCAACCAUCUAGUAGCUGGUUCCUGCCAAU